GCGGGGAGGCCUGGCGGGGCCGCUGGCGGCUCGCGGAGUCUCCCCUCAGCAAUGUGCUUUGCAGCAAACGGGGGCUGCCCACGUUGCGGGGUUUCCUUCAGGCCGGGGUUAGAAACCCGAGAGGCCCCCGUGCUCCAGCUGCCGCUCGGCGGAGCGGAGGAUCUAGAACAAUCUGUGAUUGACAGUUUCCAGAGGGCGAGAGCAGCGCAUUUAUGGACUGAUACCAUCUCCCUUUUCUUUGACCUUCUUUGAACCUGGAUCUCCCACAUCCCAGGUUGUAAAGCUCAUGCUUUUACAUGCGGAGGGCCUCAGUUCACUCCCUGCAGACAUCGCAAACAGGAGUGGUGUCACAUUUGGCUAUGCUGUCUGUAACCACUAAACCACAACCAACUUCUUGCUCCUGGAAGAGAAGCCGAAGCCCAGCACUCCACUGGUGCUCCGCAAUGUGUGUGUUGUGGCUCCCUGCAUGGGCUGCUACAUGUAGAGUGUUUGUAUUUGAUUAAAAGGCGCUGCCCCCUUUAAGAACAGAAUGUGGGAAACAGCAUGUGUUGGAGACUGAGUGGUGUGAUAUGACCUGUGUGUCCACUGUCUGGAAGACCCUGCCUGCCUAAGAUCUGAACUCUGCC